CUCCUCCCCACUCCCAGGACCUGUCAAGCUGGCUCCACCCCUUGGCACCCCAAGCAGUCCUUCCCCAUCAGAUGAGCGUAUUGGUAGGUGAAUUCUCGGAGCUGGGUGGCCAACUUGGAGGGCGUGCGUGUUUGAAAUUCCGAAGCAUUACCACUACAACAGAUGAUCCCCGCCAUCUCACCAUCGACAUGCGUGUGUUCACACUUGUGGAUCUUGACCAACCCAACAGAAGAGAACUGGGCUCUCAUCUCAGUGUUCUUUAACACACGGCUCUCCUAUGACGAAGAGAGACACAGCGAGAGAGAGAACACAAGCAGGGGGAGCGGGAGAGGGAGAAGCAGGC